rnacentral:lncRNA from 1 species
UGCUUGCGUACUGCCAUGGAUAGCGCAUGUGUUGGCUUUGUCCAGCUUUGGGCUUUUUCCCACAUUGAUUUUAAAAAGACAGAGGAGCCACAGAUUUUGGAGUACUGCAAAAUGACUUUCCAAAUUGAUGAACCAUGGACUCUAAGCUGGAUAGACAGAGAAAUGAAAAGAAGGGACUAAUAGGGAAUAAGACGUGUGAUCCAUGGCCCGAUGGCCCUGAUGGACGUGAAGAUCCACUGUUGUGGAAGGAGUGGAACACUAACACUGAAUGAUGGAGGCUGUGGUCAGAAACAGGGAUUAGCAACCCACUCUCCACCAAAUUUCAAAUCACUAGGGGCAUUAUGCUAUGUCCCAGGAGUGGCCAAGGCUUCAAGGACCAAUGAUAGACCUGCCGCUCUAACCUAGGCCUGCUGAGGAGUACGAUUCAACCUGUGUUUCUGUGUGGUUCAGCAAUCUUGCUGAGCUCCUCUAAGUCAGUCCAUCCUGCCACAGCUGGGAAGAAUCAAGAAACUCUCCAAGAAGACGUUUAUCGGUUGAUAAAAAUCUGUUUAUCUGCCUGUUGCCAAUGAGAAGACAGGUCUGCUGACCAUGGCAGGCGUGGCAGCACGUGACACCGUGUUUGCUGCUCACUGCGUGUUCCACCUGAACUUUCCCGUCCGGUCAAUGAGUCUUGACAGUGGGGUGAAGGGGACUCACUCUCAAAGACCAAGGCUGACCUGCUUUGAGUACAAUGCCUUGACCUAGUUACUGUCACUGUGUUUUUGUCUUCAGGAACUAAAACGUACAAUAAAAAUUUGUUCAUUU